GGUGCUUGCACUUGAAAGAUUUAACAUUUAGACGAGUGGCGAACUGGUGAGUAACACGUGGGUAACCUGCCCUUGAAGUAGGGGAUAACACUUGGAAACAGGUGCUAAUACCGUAUAACAACCAAAACCACCUGGUUUUGGUUUAAAAGACGGCUUCGGCUGUCACUUUAGGAUGGACCCGCGGCGUAUUAGCUUGUUGGUAAGGUAACGGCCUACCAAGGCGAUGAUACGUAGCCGACCUGAGAGGGUAAUCGGCCACAUUGGGACUGAGACACGGCCCAAACUCCUACGGGAGGCAGCAGUAGGGAAUCUUCCACAAUGGACGAAAGUCUGAUGGAGCAACGCCGCGUGAGUGAUGAAGGGUUUCGGCUCGUAAAACUCUGUUGUUGGAGAAGAACAGGUGUCAGAGUAACUGUUGACAUCUUGACGGUAUCCAACCAGAAAGCCACGGCUAACUACGUGCCAGCAGCCGCGGUAAUACGUAGGUGGCAAGCGUUGUCCGGAUUUAUUGGGCGUAAAGCGAGCGCAGGCGGUUUUUUAGGUCUGAUGUGAAAGCCUUCGGCUUAACCGGAGAAGUGCAUCGGAAACCGGGAGACUUGAGUGCAGAAGAGGACAGUGGAACUCCAUGUGUAGCGGUGAAAUGCGUAGAUAUAUGGAAGAACACCAGUGGCGAAGGCGGCUGUCUGGUCUGUAACUGA
rnacentral:rRNA from 1 species